AGAGUUUGAUCCUGGCUCAGGACGAACGCUGGCGGCGUGCUUAACACAUGCAAGUCGAGCGGUAAGGCUCCUUCGGGAGUACACGAGCGGCGAACGGGUGAGUAACACGUGAGCAAUCUGCCCUUCACAUCGGGAUAACUCCGGGAAACCGGUGCUAAUACCGAAUACGACCACUUCAGGCAUCUGAUGGUGGUGGAAAGUUCCGGCGGUGAAGGAUGAGCUCGCGGCCUAUCAGCUUGUUGGUGGGGUAACGGCCCACCAAGGCAACGACGGGUAGCCGGCCUGAGAGGGUGACCGGCCACACUGGGACUGAGACACGGCCCAGACUCCUACGGGAGGCAGCAGUGGGGAAUAUUGGACAAUGGGCGAAAGCCUGAUCCAGCAACGCCGCGUGAGGGAUGACGGCCUUCGGGUUGUAAACCUCUUUCAGCAGGGACGAAGCGCAAGUGACGGUACCUGCAGAAGAAGCACCGGCCAACUACGUGCCAGCAGCCGCGGUA
rnacentral:rRNA from 1 species